GAUGAACGCUGGCGGCGUGCCUAAUACAUGCAAGUCGAACGCACGCACGAACAGUUUGCUUCUCUGAUGUUAGCGGCGGACGGGAGAGUAACACGUGGAUAACCUACAUAAAAGACUGGGAUCACUUCGAAAAACCUGUUCUAACACAGGAUGAUAUUUUGAACCGUAAGUUUCAAAAGAGAAUGACCGUCUUUAUGUCUAUUAUAGUUGGAUCCGCACGGCAUUAGCAAGUUGGUAAGGUAACGACUUACUAAGGCAACGAUGCAUAGCAGACCUAAGAGGAAGAUCGGCAACACGGGAACGAGGAUGCGGUGCCAACUCCGACGGGAGGCAGCGGUAGGGAGUCUUCCGGAAGGGGCGAAGGCCUGACGGAGAAACGCCGCGUGAGUGAUGAAGGUCUUCAGAGCGUAAAACACUGUUAUUAGAGAAGAACAUAUGUGUAAGUAACUGUGAACAUCUUGACGGUAGCUAAUCAGAUAGCCACGGCUAACUACGUG
rnacentral:rRNA from 1 species